rnacentral:rRNA from 1 species
UACGUAGGGGGGCUAGCGUUGUCCGGAUUUAUUGGGCGUAAAGAGCGCGUAGGCGGCCGAGUAAGUCCGACGUGAAAUCUGGAGGCUCAACCUCCAGCGGUCGUUGGAAACUACCCGGCUAGAGUCCGGAAGAGGAGAGUGGAAUUCCUGGUGUAGCGGUGAAAUGCGCAGAUAUCAGGAAGAACACCGAUGGCGAAAGCAGCUCUCUGGGACGGUACUGACGCUGAGGCGCGAAAGCGUGGGGAGCAAACAGG